rnacentral:piRNA from 1 species
UGUUACAGCUUUUUGGUUCAAUGCCUGG